rnacentral:rRNA from 1 species
CGCGUAGGUGGUAGUGAAAGUCUAUGGUGGAAUCUUAGGGCUUAACCCUAAAACUGCCUUGGAAACUUCAUUACUUGAGUCAGUGAGGGGAGGGUAGAAUUCCUGGUGUAGCGGUGAAAUGCGUAGAUAUCAGGAGGAAGGCCGGUGGCGAAGGCGGCCCUCUGGCGCUGAACUGACGCUGAGGCGUGAAAGCGUGGGUAGCAAACAGGAUUAGAUACCCUGGUAGUCCACGCCCUAAACGGUGGGUACUAGGUGUAGGGCUCGUAAGGGUUCUGUGCCGAAGGGAAACCAUUAAGUACCCCGCCUGGGGAGUACGGCCGCAAGGUUGAA